UACGAGUGGUGCAAGCGUUUAUUCGGAAUCACUGGGCGUAAAGGGUGUGUAGGCGGCAAAUUAAGUCUGUUGUUAAAUAUCCCACUAACUGGGAAAGUGCGGCGGAUACUGAUUUGAUAGAGGGUGAAAGAGAGAAGUGGAAUUCUCGGAGUAGCGGUAAAAUGCGUAGAUAUCGAGAGGAACACCGAUGGCGAAGGCAGCUUCUUGGUUCACAUCUGACGCUGAUACAACGAAAAGCGG
rnacentral:rRNA from 1 species